rnacentral:rRNA from 1 species
CAGCAGCCACGGGAAUACAGAGGGUGCGAGCGUUAAUCGGAUUUACUGGGCGUAAAGCGUGCGUAGGCGGCUUCUUAAGUCGGAUGUGAAAUCCCUGAGCUUAACUUAGGAAUUGCAUUCGAUACUGGGAAGCUAGAGUAUGGGAGAGGAUGGUAGAAUUCCAGGUGUAGCGGUGAAAUGCGUAGAGAUCUGGAGGAAUACCGAUGGCGAAGGCAGCCAUCUGGCCUAAUACUGACGCUGAGGUACGAAAGCAUGGGGAGCAAACAGGAUUAGAUACCCCCGUAGUCCCUGUCUCUUAUAA